UACGUAGGGCGCAAGCGUUGUCCGGAAUUAUUGGGCGUAAAGAGCUCGUAGGCGGUUUGUCGCGUCUGCCGUGAAAACCCGAGGCUUAACCUCGUGGCUUGCGGUGGAUACGGGCAGACUAGAGGUAGGUAGGGGGAGAAUGGAAUUCCCGGUGUAGCGGUGAAAUGCGCAGAUAUCGGGAGGAACACCGGUGGCGAAGGCGGUUCUCUGGGCCUUACCUGACGCUGAGGAGCGAAAGCGUGGGGAGCGAACAGG
rnacentral:rRNA from 1 species